rnacentral:rRNA from 1 species
CCUACGAGCGGCAGCAGUGAGGAAUAUUGGUCAAUGGGCGCGAGCCUGAACCAGCCAAGUAGCGUGAAGGAUGACUGCCCUACGGGUUGUAAACUUCUUCUAUAAAGGAAUAAAGUGAGGCACGUGUGCCUUUUUGUAUGUACUUUAUGAAUAAGGCUCGGCUAACUCCGUGCCAGCAGCCGCGGUAAUACGGAGGAUCCGAGCGUUAUCCGGAUUUAUUGGGUUUAAAGGGAGCGUAGAUGGGUUGUUAAGUCAGUUGUGAAAGUUUGCGGCUCAACCUUAAAAUUGCAAUUGAUACUGGCAGUCUUGAGUACAGUUGAGGUAGGCGGAAUUCGUGGUGUAGCGGUGAAAUGCUUAGAUAUCACGAAGAACUCCGAUUGCGAAGGCAGCUUACUAAACUGCCACUGACAUUGAUGCUCGAAAGUGUGGGUAUCAAACAGGAUUAGAUACCCGUGUAGUC